ACAUGGGUGAAUGGAUAAAACAAUAGAAAUAUGCAAGAUAUCAACUCCCCCAAACUUGUUCUUUACUUGUCCACAAGUGAACUUUCUAGAACUCAUGGGGAGAGAGGUUGAAGGUGGGAGCUCAUAGCCAAAAGAAACACAACUAGCAAACACAAUUAGCACACUCUCUUAUUACACUCUAGCUUCUCUAGGCCUAUCUCAACUCCUUUUGCCCCUACACUCAUCAUCAAGCAUCCACACAUUCAAAUCAACCAACUCUCACAUUCAUUAAGCAUAAGACAUCAAGUGAAAUUCUUGCAAAUGGUCAAUUGGUCCGAAUCAUUUGGUUGAGUAAAGGGAAGGUUUUUAUUCUAGUGAGUCAAACGGUUAAAAAUCCAUGAUCUUUUAAAGUGGUUUACUCUCAAAACAAGUAGCCUUGACAUUGCACAUAAUAUAUCUAAGAAAGGGACCAACUCAUGCAUACAAUGCUCAAUUUCCAUUGUUCUACCCUUUUCCCAAACAUAUAAGUUACACAAUCACUCCCCAAUGUCAAACCCAACUCACACCUCUCACCAAAAGAUUCUAAAAACAUCAACUCUUUUUCCUUGAAAUUUAUAAGGGAUUUUUCACAACCUCAAAACGUCUCUUAGCUCCUAACAACUUUGCUAGCCCCCUUUUCUUUCUUUUCUUUUUCUUCUUUUUUUUUUCGUUUUUUUUUUUUUUUUUUUAGGUUGGGGGCCAAGACUUUUCAAAA
rnacentral:lncRNA from 1 species